rnacentral:rRNA from 1 species
UACGGAGGGGGCUAGCGUUGUUCGGAAUUAUUGGGCGUAAAGCGCGCGCAGGCGGUUUCUUAAGUCUGAUGUGAAAUCUCGCGGCUCAACCGUGAGCGGUCAUUGGAAACUGGGAAACUUGAGUGCAGAAGAGAAGAGCGGAAUUCCACGUGUAGCGGUGAAAUGCGUAGAGAUGUGGAGGAACACCAGUGGCGAAGGCGGCUCUUUGGUCUGUAACUGACGCUGAGGCGCGAAAGCGUGGGGAGCGAACAGG